UACACAUGCAAGUCGAGCGGUAGAGAGAAGCUUGCUUCUCUUGAGAGCGGCGGACGGGUGAGUAAUGCCUAGGAAUCUGCCUGGUAGUGGGGGAUAACGUUCGGAAACGGACGCUAAUACCGCAUACGUCCUACGGGAGAAAGCAGGGGACCUUCGGGCCUUGCGCUAUCAGAUGAGCCUAGGUCGGAUUAGCUAGUUGGUGGGGUAAUGGCUCACCAAGGCGACGAUCCGUAACUGGUCUGAGAGGAUGAUCAGUCACACUGGAACUGAGACACGGUCCAGACUCCUACGGGAGGCAGCAGUGGGGAAUAUUGGACAAUGGGCGAAAGCCUGAUCCAGCCAUGCCGCGUGUGUGAAGAAGGUCUUCGGAUUGUAAAGCACUUUAAGUUGGGAGGAAGGGUUGUAGAUUAAUACUCUGCAAUUUUGACGUUACCGACAGAAUAAGCACCGGCUAACUCUGUGCCAGCAGCCGCGGUAAUACAGAGGGUGCAAGCGUUAAUCGGAAUUACUGGGCGUAAAGCGCGCGUAGGUGGUUUGUUAAGUUGGAUGUGAAAUCCCCGGGCUCAACCUGGGAACUGCAUUCAAAACUGACUGACUAGAGUAUGGUAGAGGGUGGUGGAAUUUCCUGUGUAGCGGUGAAAUGCGUAGAUAUAGGAAGGAACACCAGUGGCGAAGGCGACCACCUGGACUAAUACUGACACUGAGGUGCGAAAGCGUGGGGAGCAAACAGGAUUAGAUACCCUGG
rnacentral:rRNA from 1 species